AAAAUUAAAAAAAACGAUGAACAUCAAAAGUCAAAAGAAAUGGACAUGCAUAUAGUCGUUGAACUCGUCUUCUCAAGCACAUUCCAAAUAUCCAAUCUUUCGUCCUAAUUGUUCCUCUAUCACACGAAUCAAGCAACCUAGGGUUUAUAUUCAUACUUUCAAAUCGCGAUUUCUCACACUACAGGCAAUCAUUUUCUAAACCACAAACAGCAUCAAAACCUACAUUUCAUGAUCUUUC
rnacentral:lncRNA from 1 species